GUAGGUGGCAAGCGUUGUCCGGAAUUAUGGGCGUAAAGCGCGCGCAGGUGGGUUCUUUAAGUCUGAUGUGAAAGCCCCCGGGCUCAACCGGGGAGGGUCAUUGGAAACUGGGGAACUUGAGUGCAGGAGAGGAAAGUGGAAUUCCACGUGUAGCGGUGAAAUGCGUAGAUAUGUGGAGGAACACCAGUGGCGAAGGCGACUUUCUGGCCUGUAACUGACACUGAGGCGCGAAAGCGUGGGGAGCAAACAGGAUUAGAUACCCUGGUAGUCCACGCCGUAAACGAUGAGUGCUAAGUGUUGGGGGGUUUCCGCCCCUCAGUGCUGCAGCUAACGCAUUAAGCACUCCGCCUGGGGAGUACGGCCGCAAGACUG
rnacentral:rRNA from 1 species